GCGAUAUGUAAGUUAGUGGCGGACGGGUGAGUAACGCGUGGGUAACCUGCCUUGUACUGGGGGACAACAGUUGGAAACGACUGCUAAUACCGCAUAAGCGCACAGCUUCGCAUGAAGCAGUGUGAAAAACUCCGGUGGUACAAGAUGGACCCGCGUCUGAUUAGCUGGUUGGUGAGGUAACGGCCCACCAAGGCGACGAUCAGUAGCCGGCCUGAGAGGGUGAACGGCCACAUUGGGACUGAGACACGGCCCAAACUCCUACGGGAGGCAGCAGUGGGGAAUAUUGCACAAUGGGGGAAACCCUGAUGCAGCAACGCCGCGUGAGUGAAGAAGUAUUUCGGUAUGUAAAGCUCUAUCAGCAGGAAAGAAAAUGACGGUACCUGACUAAGAAGCCCCGGCUAGCUACGUGCCAGCAGCCGCGGUAAUACGUAGGGGGCAAGCGUUAUCCGGAUUUACUGGGUGUAAAGGGAGCGUAGACGGUUUUGCAAGUCUGAAGUGAAAGCCCGGGGCUUAACCCCGGGACUGCUUUGGAAACUGUAGGACUAGAGUGCAGGAGAGGUAAGUGGAAUUCCUAGUGUAGCGGUGAAAUGCGUAGAUAUUAGGAGGAACACCAGUGGCGAAGGCGGCUUACUGGACUGUAACUGACGUUGAGGCUCGAAAGCGUGGGGAGCAAACAGGAUUAGAUACCCUGGUAGUCCACGCCGUAAACGAUGAUUACUA
rnacentral:rRNA from 1 species